rnacentral:rRNA from 1 species
AAGACCUUGCACUUUUGGAGCGGCCGAUGUCUGAUUAGCUAGUUGGUGGGGUAAUGGCCUACCAAAGCUUCGAUCAGUAGCUGGUCUGAGAGGACGGCCAGCCACACUGGGACUGAGACACGGCCCAGACUCCUACGGGAGGCAGCAGUGGGGAAUUUUGGACAAUGGGCGCAAGCCUGAUCCAGCCAUGCCGCGUGAGUGAAGAAGGCCUUCGGGUUGUAAAGCUCUUUCAGCCGGGAAAAAAAGGUUGCGACUAAUAAUCGCAAUCCAUGACGGUACCGAAAGAAGAAGCACCGGCUAACUACGUGCCAGCAGCCGCGGUAAUACGUAGGGUGCGAGCGUUAAUCGGAAUUACUGGGCGUAAAGGGUGCGCAGGCGGUUUUGUAAGUCAGAUGUGAAAUCCCCGGGCUUAACCUGGGAACU